CACCGACUGACGGGAGAUCUUGGAGGCCUGCUGUCAUGGCUGAGGAUAGCCUUCGGGCUAUCCUCACUUCUAGGAUAACCUCAUUUCUCUUGGAGCUUCCCCUUUCUAGGCAACUCUGGCCAAGUCACAUGAGUUUCUGAAGCCUCAGCCUCUGCAUCUAUGACAUCAGAAUGACCCCUGGCUUGCCUUGUACACUAGAUGGUCACUAGACUUUGAGGACACAGUGAACGAGGGAGCACAUUGGAGGAGAAGUGCACAGCUGGACAGGAUGAGGCCUGCCUGCACCUCUGGAAGCAAGCAUUAAAGGACCACAAAUAGGUCCGCCACCAGGAGAGAUGGAAUAAUGGUUCCCUGGCCCAUCAAAUGUAUCUACAUCCUAGUCCCUGGAAGCUGUAACAUCACUACGUAAGGUCACAUGUUACCAGGGCAAAAAUGACGCAGAGGGAAGGGUGAGGAAAGCACAUGAGAAAGAAGCCCAAAGCACGUUGUGACAUUUAAGAUAAGAAACAGUGGUGUAGACAAGGCAAGGAAGAAUUCUUGAAAAAUAAAAAGCAGCCGAUGAAUACAAUAAGGGGAGUGUUCACAAGAAAAUAAGCCGUAGCCUCUGUGUUGUUUAAGUUGACAGCCCACCUGGAGAAAUGUGAAGCAAACGGAAAGACCAGCAUAGUAAGAAGAUGGCGGAACAGAGUCUGAAACCACGAUGGGCAGGAUUAAAGGCUGGAAAACUAAA